UACAGAGGUCUCAAGCGUUGUUCGGAAUUACUGGGCGUAAAGGCUCGUAGGCGGCCAACUAAGUCGGAUGUGAAAUCCCCAGGCUCAACCUGGGAACUGCAUCCGAUACUGGAUGGCUUGAAUUCGGGAGAGGGAUGCAGAAUUCCAGGUGUAGCGGUGAAAUGCGUAGAUAUCUGGAGGAAUACCGAUGGCGAAGGCAGGUCUCUAGGCAUUAACUGACGCUGAGGAGCGAA
rnacentral:rRNA from 1 species